ACACCGGCGGCCCGAGUGGUGAUCGUGAUUAUUGGGUCUAAAGGGUCCGUAGCCGGUUUGGUCAGUCCUCCGGGAAAUCUGAUAGCUCAACUAUUAGGCUUUCGGGGGAUACUGCCAGACUUGGAACCGGGAGAGGUAAGAGGUACUACAGGGGUAGGAGUGAAAUCUUGUAAUCCCUGUGGGACCACCUGUGGCGAAGGCGUCUUACCAGAACGGGUACGACGGUGAGGGACGAAAGCUGGGGGCACGAACCGGAUUAGAUACCCGGGUAGUCCCAGCCGUAAAUGAUGCUCGCUAGGUGUCAGGCAUGGCGCGACCGUGUCUGGUGCCGCAGGGAAGCCGUGAAGCGAGCCACCUGGGAAGUACGGCCGCAAGGCUGAAACUUAAAGGAAUUGGCGGGG
rnacentral:rRNA from 1 species